GUGAUGAGGGCGUUGGGACACCGUGAUUUGUGAAGAGCACCUGGAGGGCUGA
rnacentral:snoRNA from 2 species